GAACCCAGUCUAGUGGACAUGGCAUCUGCCCGGUAAGCGGAACACUGUGGGUUCGAUUCCCAUCCCUGGAUACU
rnacentral:tRNA from 1 species